AGGAGCCAGUGAUUAAAACUUUCAGAACGGCCAUCAUAGCAUGUCAGUGAUGAUUCUGAAUAUCACCAUCUUUCGGCUGAGGCUCCU
rnacentral:snoRNA from 1 species